AACACGUCUGAGUUUGUCAUCCUGUUGUUUGGUAAUGAGCCCCACCAGCUCCCGUUUCCGCUCGUCCAAGAUAGCAACCAGGUUGUCAAAUCUGUCGGCCAGAUGCUCUCUCUGUCGCCGACCGUUCUCCUGAGCCUGGCAGAUAUCUUCCAUCUGAGAGAUGACUGCCUGGACGUGGUCGUUACUAGCAACCAGGAUCGCAAUGCUGUCACUCAGAUGAGUGAAUCAGAAGACAGAGUGAGAGAUGGAGAGGCCGGCACUGAAAUGUCAACAAAGCCAACUGCUCAAUAACAAGCCGGACGCUGCUGCUGCUGCCAUCUGCAUGACAAAACUGCUGCACUUUGUCUUUGUGUGACUUUGUGUCGCCACAAAUAAUGUAAAUUAUUUGUUUUCAUGAGAUAUAUUUAAUGUAGAAGUUAAUAAGUCUGGUAUCAUCACAACUGACCUGAUGAUG